UCCUACGGGAGGCAGCAGUAGGGAAUCUUCCGCAAUGGACGAAAGUCUGACGGAGCAACGCCGCGUGAGUGAUGAAGGCUUUCGGGUCGUAAAACUCUGUUGUUAGGGAAGAACAAGUGCUAGUUGAAUAAGCUGGCACCUUGACGGUACCUAACCAGAAAGCCACGGCUAACUACGUGCCAGCAGCCGCGGUAAUACGUAGGUGGCAAGCGUUAUCCGGAAUUAUUGGGCGUAAAGCGCGCGCAGGUGGUUUCUUAAGUCUGAUGUGAUAGCCCACGGCUCAACCGUGGGGGGUCAUUGGAAACUGGGAGACUUGAGUGCAGAAGAGGAAAGUGGAAUUCCAUGUGUAGCGGUGAAAUGCGUAGAGAUAUGGAGGAACACCAGUGGCGAAGGCGACUUUCUGGUCUGUAACUGACACUGAGGCGCGAAAGCGUGGGGAGCAAACAGGAUUAGAUACCCUGGUAGUCCACGCCGUAAACGAUGAGUGCUAAGUGUUAGAGGGUUUCCGCCCUUUAGUGCUGAAGUUAACGCAUUAAGCACUCCGCCUGGGGAGUACGGCCGCAAGGCUGAAACUCA
rnacentral:rRNA from 1 species